UCAACAAUGAAAACUCAGACAGCUUCUGCUCCGCAUCAUUCAUCAACUCGAUGACCUCUUCCCUUGCUUUCUGGUACUCCUGCCAUUGAACCGUACAUCUUGAAAGAAUCCAAGAGAAAUAAGUCCCAGCUCUAGAAACACCAUGAGAAGUUAACGCAUAAGUUGGGAGAAUUGUUUCCAUGCAAAAUACAAAGCUUAGCAGCUGGAUAAUAUGUGAAGUCGUUAUGCCUCCGUGGGUUAAAAGAAUGAUAACAUUCAACAUCCAAACUAGCCUUUGCCAGCUUCUGGAGAUGAAUGGCUUUCCCUUGAGUCUUGAGAGAGAGACUAAAAUAAAAGAAGUAGAAAUCCACAAGGCUUACUGCUUCAAACCCAGAAGGAAUGGAAAUACUCUAACCAGGCACCAGUAAAUGGCUAAGAGGCGUCACCCUGAAAGCAAAGACCUCUGUACAGUUGUCAGGGUUGGCUGCAAACAAGGAGCAGUCAGGAAAGGAGAGGAAGGGUGAGUAUGUGGGUUACAAAUGCUCCCCAUAACAUCUGGAUGGGGGCAACCAAGACACAGAGGCAAAGCAGAGACAACCUACCAGAUUUAAGAUUGUGUUCAAGAAUCGUCAACUUGAAACAAAUAAUCAAUGAGAUAGAUCAGCGGUUCUCAAUCUGUGGGUGGCGACCCCAUUGGGGGUUACAUAUCAGAUACCCUGCA